rnacentral:rRNA from 1 species
AUUGAACGCUGGCGGCAGGCCUAACACAUGCAAGUCGAACGAGUGGCGGACGGGUGAGUAAUGCUUGGGAAACUGCCCUAUGGAGGGGGAUAACGACGGGAAACGGUAGCUAAUACCGCAUACCAUCGGAUGUGCCCAAAUGGGAUUAGCUAGUAGGUGGGGUAACGGCUCACCUAGGCGACGAUCCCUAGCUGGUCUGAGAGGAUGACCAGCCACACUGGAACUGAGACACGGUCCAGACUCCUACGGGAGGCAGCAGUGGGGAAUAUUGCACAAUGGGCGCAAGCCUGAUGCAGCCAUGCCGCGUGUAUGAAGAAGGCCUUCGGGUUGUAAAGUACUUUCAGCGAGGAGGCGUUACUCGCAGAAGAAGCACCGGCUAACUCCGUGCCAGCAGCCGCGGUAAUUC